rnacentral:lncRNA from 1 species
GCCACCAUUGCCCCUCUCUGGGACCUGCGUCUUCCCAUUUGGAAGCUGGGGUUUACUUAUUCCUGCCCCUCUGCCGGGUAACUGUGAAGAUGAGAGGUGGGUCCUGGCUCUGAACUGGGAUCUCCUGGGAAAGCGGGGCAUUGCCGUUCCCUCCUGAUGUCACGCUUAUCUGUCCUGCCUUCGUCCUCAUUCAGCCUGUGCCCCCUUUCCCAGGCUACUGGCUGUGAAACAGGGUGAGAGACGUGCUGACGUAGGAUGGAGAGAAGAGCCUAGAAGGCCUGGCGUGGGAAGAAGAUACAGCAACUUCAGGGGAAAGGCAGAGCGAGGCCCUGAGAGCUCUGGGUCGACAGUGCCUGACAGGUGCUGGCACAACGCCAUGGCAACAACUGACCAAGCAGUUUCUCUGGAGCAGACAGCCUGGGUCCAAAUCGCAGCCUCCUUGCUAGCUGUGUGAUCUCAGACAGGUGACUUAACUUUUCUGUGUCUCAGUGUCCAUGUUUGUAAAAUGGCAAUGUCACAAUAUCCAUCUUAUGAAGUUGUCAAGACUAAAAGAGUUAAUAUUUAUAAAGUCUUAGAAGAUGAUGGAACAUGAUAGUGUAUGAAAAUAGAAUGUGUACAUGUAUGUGUAACUGGGUCACCAUGCUGUACAGUAGAAAAAAAAGUUGUAUUGGGGAAAUAACUAUUAAAAAAAUUGAAAAUAAAUAAAUAAAUAAAAAAUAAAGUCUUAGAAGUGCCUAGCAUGUGGUAACUGUUCAACAAGCAUUCGGUGUUUUUUCUUUUUCUUUUUUGUUCUUUUUUGUUGUUGUUUUUGGGGCUGAGCUUGUGGCAUAUGGAAGUUCCCAGGCUAGGGGUCACAUCAGAGCUAUAGCUGCUGGCCUACAUCACAGCCACAGCAAGGCAGAAUCUGAGCCGCAUCUUCGACCUACACCACAGCUCAUGGCAACACCAGAUCCUUAACCCACUGAGCAAGGCCAGGGAUCGAACCCACAACCUCAUGGUUCCUAGUCAGAUUUGUUAACCACUGAGUCACGACGGGAACUCCCUUAGACUCUAGUCAACAGAAAUUGAGAAGAGGCCAGACAAGAAAUCCAGGUGAGACUUUGUCGGGAUUCAAGGCUUUAUUGAGACUUGAGUUACAGCACGAUGGAGUGAAAACGAUCAACAGGUUCCCUUGCUCGCUCCCUGGGUUGAGGAGGCGGC